rnacentral:lncRNA from 1 species
GUGUCUGCUAUUCACAGGCACACUGUGGGAGACCUCUGAGUUGAGCCUGGACAUGAAGGAACACCAACUGCAGUAAGAGGAAUUCUGGCUCUCUAGGAGAAAGAUUACGUAGAUUACAGGUAUCGGUGGAGACUGCACGCUAACCAUUAUAUUUGGGAAGAAAUCUUCACUUUCUAUCUUGUACCAAAAACCAUAAGAAAACUCAAAACAGAAUUUUUUAAAAAGAUAAAUUUUUAUCAAAUUUAGGAUAAGGAAAAAACACUUCCUAAGUAUAAGAGCAGUGGAGGAAGCCACAGAGGAAAAACAGGUUUAUGAAAUAGGCUACGAAAAAACUGAAGAAGAAAAUGAUGUGUUAAGGAAAAUAUCUGAAAAAUGUGGCGUAAGUAAUCUGGGGAAAUCACCUACCAAAAGUAUUGAUGCUCAGCUGGUCAAUGAAAUCCCAAAAUCGUUCAAUUACAUCCUGUACUCGUUUCUCACAUUUGCCCUAUGAAGAAAAAACAUACAUACAGCAUCAUUCCCAAACACAAU